rnacentral:rRNA from 1 species
GAUGAACGCUAGCGGCAGGCUUAACACAUGCAAGUCGAGGGGUAACAGGGAAGAGCUUGCUUUUCUGCUGACGACCGGCGCACGGGUGCGUAACGCGUAUAGAACCUACCUUUUACAGGGGAAUAGCCCAGAGAAAUUUGGAUUAAUGCCCCAUAGUAUUAUUGAAUGGCAUCAUUUAAUAAUUAAACAUUUAUGGGUAAAAGAUGGCUAUGCGUUCUAUUAGCUAGAUGGUAAGGUAACGGCUUACCAUGGCAACGAUAGAUAGGGGUCCUGAGAGGGAGAUCCCCCACACUGGUACUGAGACACGGACCAGACUCCUACGGGAGGCAGCAGUGAGGAAUAUUGGACAAUGGAGGCAACUCUGAUCCAGCCAUGCCGCGUGCAGGAAGACGGUCCUAUGGAUUGUAAACUGCUUUUAUAUAGGAAGAAACCUUUCCACGUGUGGAAAGCUGACGGUACUAUAAGAAUAAGCACCGGCUAACUCCGUGCCAGCAGCCGCGGUAAUACGGAGGGUGCAAGCGUUAUCCGGAAUCAUUGGGUUUAAAGGGUCCGUAGGCGGACUAAUAAGUCAGGGGUGAAAUCCAACAGCUUAACUGUUGAACUGCCUUUGAUACUGUUAGUCUUGAGUUAUAUGGAAGUAGAUAGAAUAUGUAGUGUA